rnacentral:rRNA from 1 species
GAUGAACGCUGGCGGCGUGCCUAAUACAUGCAAGUCGAGCGAACAGAUGAGGAGCUUGCUCCUCUGACGUUAGCGGCGGACGGGUGAGUAACACGUGGAUAACCUACCUUUAAGACUGGGAUAACUUCGGGAAACCGGAGCUAAUACCGGAUAAUAUAUUGAACCGCAUGGUUCAAUAGUGAAAGACGGUUUUGCUGUCACUUAUAGAUGGAUCCGCGCCGCAUUAGCUAGUUGGUAAGGUAACGGCUUACCAAGGCAACGAUGCGUAGCCGACCUGAGAGGGUGAUCGGCCACACGGGAACGGAGAACCGGCCCAGACCCCUACGGGAGGCAGCAGUAGGGAAUCUUCCGCAAGGGGGGAAAGCUUGACGGAGAAACGCCGGGUGAGUGAUGAAGGUCUUCGGAUCGUAAAACUCUUUUAUUAGGGAAGAACAAAUGUGUAAGAAACUAUGCACGUCUUGACGGUACCAAAUCAGAAAGCAACGGCUAACUACGU